rnacentral:misc_RNA from 1 species
GAUGAAGAACGCAGCGAAAUGCGAUACGUAAUGUGAAUUGCAGAAUUCAGUGAAUCAUCGAGUCUUUGAACGCACAUUGCGCCCCCUGGUAUUCCGGGGGGCAUGCCUGUCCGAGCGUCAUUGCUGCCCUCAAGCACGGCUUGUGUGUUGGGCCUCCGUCCUCCUCCCGGGGGACGGGCCCGAAAGGCAGCGGCGGCACCGCGUCCGGUCCUCGAGCGUAUGGGGCUUCGUCACCCGCUCUUGUAGGCCCGGCCGGCGCUUGCCGACACAUCAAUCUUUUUUCCAGGUUGACCUCGGAUCAGGUAGGGAUACCCGCUGAACUUAAGCAUAUCAAUAAGCGGAGG